CUGCUGUGAGUAGCCCAAGCCGAACAGAGAGGCCACACAGGGGAGAGGCCACAGUGGACUGUAGUUGACAAUCCCAGCCGAGCCCAGCCUUCCAGUCCCUGAGCUCCAGACGUAUGAGUGAAGAAACCUGCAGACAAUUCCAGCCCCUGGCCAUGCAGGUGUCUCGAGCUGAGGCCCCUGGCGUUGUGGAGCAGAGACCGGCCCUCCCUGUUGAGUCCUACCUGAGUUCCCAACCUGCACAAUCUAACUCUCCAGUGGCUUCCUGUGGUGGACGACCUCUAAGGUUGUCCCCGUGAUCUCUGCUUCCUGGUAUUAACACCCUUAAGUGUGGGCUGGACCUACUGACUCACUUCUGAUGAGAGGAAUGCGGCCAAAGUGAAGGAAUCUCACUUCCAGGAGCAGUCCAGCUGGAGAAAGACAGAAACCAGGGAGAGGAGACGGUGCCUUUCUGCUCUCAUCUGAAGCAGUUGACAGAAGACACCCAGAUGUGCAGGGAGAACUGGCGGCAGGUGUGCAGAAAUUGCUGAGAAGAGUAUGUCCACGAGGGAAAGUUUCUUUUCUUCAUAAACUUCUAUGGAUUGAGCUUCACCCAUACACCAGGCUCUGCCUUUUCACUGGCAUUCCCAUUCAAAUACCCCCACAGGUCAGCCAGACAGCGUGAGUACCCAUCCUUCACCAAAGAGGC